rnacentral:rRNA from 1 species
CCUACGGGAGGCAGCAGUGAGGAAUAUUGGUCAAUGGACGAGAGUCUGAACCAGCCAAGUCGCGUGAAGGAUGACUGCCCUAUGGGUUGUAAACUUCUUUUAUAAAGGAAUAAAACGAGGCACGUGUGCCUUUUUGCAUGUACUUUAUGAAUAAGGAUCGGCUAACUCCGUGCCAGCAGCCGCGGUAAUACGGAGGAUCCGAGCGUUAUCCGGAUUUAUUGGGUUUAAAGGGAGCGUAGAUGGGUUGUUAAGUCAGUUGUGAAAGUUUGCGGCUCAACCGUAAAAUUGCAAUUGAUACUGGCAGUCGUGAGUACAGUUGAGGUAGGCGGAAUUCGUGGUGUAGCGGUGAAAUGCUUAGAUAUCACGAAGAACCCCGAUUGCGAAGGCAGCUUACUAAACUGUGACUGACAUUGAUGCUCGAAAGUGUGGGUAUCAAACAGGAUUAGAUACCCGAGUAGUC